AAAAAAUUGGGAGGCUAUUGCACAUCUGCAGCAAAACGCCAUGCUGCACCCAUGUGACAUGUUUUGACUGGAACUGCAGCUUGGCCACAAGCUCUACCUCGACCCAGUCAAUUUACCCCACUGUUCUGACCUCCUUAGCAGAAGGCUAGGAGGGGAGGCACAGGCCAUCACUAGGAACAAUUGCUCUCUGAGAGCCAGGGGAUGCCCCUUUCU